rnacentral:lncRNA from 1 species
UUUCCACCCUCAUCCAGAGCGGGACAAACAGGCCAGGCGGUGUCAGGAGCACAGGUCUCCAGCUGGAGGGAGUGUCAGCCCUGCAGUAGGAGUCCAUCACGCAUCCUAGGCACAUAUGCUAAUGUAGGUAUCACAGACCAUAAAGGAGAACAGCAAGAGGCUCCCAGCAAACAUCCACAGAUUGCCCUGGACAUCAGCCACAUUCUGAGAAACAUGUCAUGUUCUGGGAGGGCUAAGGCAUCAAGAAUUCAAGUGACUAUAUUGCCACCAUCUUGGAGCUCACUGCCCUCAGUGUAAUGGCACCAGUAGAUCUGCCUGUGCACAGACUUCCUGUACUACCCACUCUUGAGGGGUGAUGCUUCUGCCUCACCAUAUGCUCAGGCCUAUGACCGGAUGCACAACUUUAGACACCAUCAUCCUGGAGCAGCUCUGCACCCUCACUAGCCAGGGUGUUGACAUCCUCAAGGCCAAGGCCACAUUCAAGACUUUGGAUUUCAUUGAUGCACUUGUCCUGAGCAAAGUGGGCAUCUCUGGGAUCUUAAUUCAGGAGGUAGAAUGCAGCUUGAGAUCAAGUGUCUGAUCAAAGAACUUGAACUUGAUCUGGAGGGCUCUGGGGAGCCAGGAAGGUGCUGGAUAAAGAAGGGACUGUCAGAUAUGUUUUAGAGAUGACUGUAGAAGGCUUCCUGAAAGGAGUGAACAAGAGCCAGGAGACCAGGGAGGGAGCUUGUGGGUCAGGUCUGGAGAUGGCAAGGGAGGAAUCCUGC